GGUAUUCCUUAUCUAUCUAAUACGUUGAUUUAUCUGGAACCUGUCCCAUUGUGUUUUCAGCGGAAAGCACAAUAAGACAGGUUCUGCGUUUAGUUGCCGCGCUCUAAAUAGUG
rfam:Klebsiella sp. RIT-PI-d NODE_4_length_351486_cov_39.2173_ID_7, whole genome shotgun sequence.